rnacentral:rRNA from 1 species
GACGAACGCUGGCGGCGUGCUUAACACAUGCAAGUCGAACGGAAAGGCCCCUUUGGGGGUACUCGAGUGGCGAACGGGUGAGUAACACGUGAGUAACCUGCCCUUGACUUCGGGAUAACUUCAGGAAACUGGGGCUAAUACCGGAUAGGAAUCCUUGCUGCAUGGUGGGGGUUGGAAAGCUUCGGCGGUUGUGGAUGGACUCGCGGCUUAUCAGCUUGUUGGUGGGGUAGUGGCUUACCAAGGCUUUGACGGGUAGCCGGCCUGAGAGGGCGACCGGCCAAAUUGGGACUGAGAGACGGCCCAGACUCCUACGGGGGGCAGCAGUGGGGAAUAUUGCACAAAGGGCGGAAGCCUGAUGCAGCAACGCCGCGUGCGGGAUGACGGCCUUCGGGUUGUAAAACGCUUUCAGCAGGGGCGAAGCUUGUGGUGACGGUACCUGCAGAAGAAGCAACGGCUAACUACGUG